UCAUGGGGUCGCAAAGAGUCGGACACGGCUGAGCGACUGAACUGAACUUAGGCCCUUUUGGUGGAAAUUUCUAGAUGUGUACUUUUUUUAAGAUUAAUAAUGGUAAGUUUAUACUGAUAAUUAUACUGUAAAAAAUCUUGAAUUCCUAAUGACGUCAAUCUACUGUCAUCACAUAAUAUGUAAAUAUGGUUUCAAUGUACUACUAAUUUUACUCUUAAUUUUACUGUUAAUAGUAAUGAUUGCAUUAUGACUUGCGUGGGUUUUUUGUCCCUAGAAAAUGGACAAAACACUGUAUUCUAAGGUCACUUGAAAGUAGUAUAACACUAUAUUUUGUUGGCAAGUUUUAGGGUUUUUCUUUUUUAAAAUAUUGAAGUACAGUUGACUUACAGCGUUAACUUCAGGUGUACAGCAAAGUGAUUCACAUAAAUAUGUAUUCCUUUCCAAAUUUUUUUCCAUUACCGGUUGAGAGAUACUGAAUAUUUUCUGUAUGUGAAGAAGUGUUUCUAACUUCAUGGAUUUACACGCAACUGUUCAGCUCUCCCAACACCACUUGCAGAAGAGGCUUUUUCUGCAUUAUAUAGUCUUGCCUCCAUUAUCGAAGAUAACUGACCGCAGGUUUGUGGGUUUAUUUUUGGACUUUCUGUUCCCACCCACCAAUCCAUGUCUGUUUUUGUGCCAACACCAUACUAGUUUGCCUAGUGUAGCUUUGUAGUAUUGUCUGAAGUCUAGGAGGGUUAUGCCUGCAGCUGUUUUUUCCUCCUAAGGAUUGCAUUGAUAGUUCUGGAUCUUCUGUGGUUCUAUGUAAGUUUUAGGAUUACUUGUUCUAGUUCUGUGAUAAACGUCAUGGGUACACUGAUUGCAUUAAACCUGUAGAUUGCUUUGGGUAGUAUGGCCAUUUUAACUAAUUCUUCUAAUCCAACAACGUGGCAUGUUUUUGUUUCUUUGAACCACCUUCUAUAUCCUUCAUCAAUGUUUAUUAUAGUUUUCAGCGUGUAUUUCGCCUUGAUUAGAUUCAUUCCUGAAGUGAGUCACUCAGUCCUGUCCGACUCUUUGCGACCCCACGGACUAUACAGUCCAUGGAAUUCUCCAGGCCAGAAUACUGCCUUUACCAGGCAAUCUUUCCAACCGGGGAUCAAACCCAGGUCUCUUGCAUUGUGGGCUCUUUGCCAGCUGAGCCACCAAGUUCAUUCCUAAGAUAUUUUGAUCAUUUUUUUUUAAUUGAAAUGUAGUUGACUUAUUCAGUAGUUUCAGGUGUACCACAGUGAUUCAGCUCUACAUACACAUAUAUCCCUCCAUGUAUUUUUUCAUUCUUUUCCCUUAUAGGUUUUUAUAACACACUGUACAGUUCCCUUCGCUUGGGCCAGGAAGUGCAGAGGUGGCAUGACCCUCCAUGCUUCUCUUUCUGCCCUGCCUGCCACCAGCUAGGUGCUGCAUUCUCCUUUGAGCCUCUGAGGCUUUCUUUCCCAGCUGACCCCUCAGCUGGUGAAGGAUCCCAGGGUGAGGAAACUGGUCACAGCUCAGGGGCACAGGUCUCACCCUGACUCUUGUUUUGUCCUGCCCAGCUUCGUGGUGGUCUUUCUUGCCACUCUGGUUCUGAGAUCUUUUGCCAGUGUUCAGUGGGUAUUUGGUGAGAAUUAUUCUUUAGGUGUGUGUAUUUUUGCUCUAUUUCUAUGAGGUGAGUUCCACAUACUUUUAUUCUGCCAUCUUGAUCUGUCCCCAGGUUUUUAGGUUUUAAAUUCUUAAAUUUUAGGUGGUCACAACAAUGGAAAAAGGCAUGUUCACAGGAUUGCUCCCAUCCCAUCUCUUUUCUUUCCCUAUUGGUGGCCAUUUUUAUUAGUUUUGAAUUUUUUCUUCCAUUGUCUACUUCUAUGCAAAUACAUACAUAUAUUGCUGCUAAGUCACUUCAGUCGUGUCCAACUCUCUGUGACCCCAUAGACG
ensembl:lncRNA